GUGUCAGCAGCCGCGGUAAGACGAACCGUCCAAACGUUAUUCGGAAUCACUGGGCUUACAGAGUUCGUAGGCGGUCUGGAAAGUUGGGUGUGAAAUCCCUCGGCUCAACCGAGGAACUGCGCUCAAAACUGCCAGACUCGAGGGAGAUAGAGGAAAGCGGAACUGAUGGUGGAGCGGUGAAAUGCGUUGAUAUCAUCAGGAACACCGGUGGCGAAGGCGGCUUUCUGGGUCUUACCUGACGCUGAGGAACGAAAGCUAGGGGAGCGAACGGGAUUAGAUACCCCGGUAGUCCUAGCCGUAAACGAUGAGCACUAGGUCGUGGGCCUCCACAGGCCCUCGGCCGUAGCGAAAGUGUUAAGUGCUCCGCCUGGGGAGUAUGGUCGCAAGGCUGAA
rnacentral:rRNA from 1 species